GGGUAUAGCUCAGUGGUAGAGCGUGUGCUUAGCAUGCACAAAGUCCUGGGUUCAAUCCCCAGUACCUCCA
rnacentral:tRNA from 1 species